rnacentral:rRNA from 1 species
AUUGAACGCUGGCGGCAGGCCUAACACAUGCAAGUCGAACGAGUGGCGGACGGGUGAGUAAUGUCUGGGAAACUGCCCGAUGGAGGGGGAUAACUACUGGAACCGGUAGCUAAUACCGCAUACCAUCGGAUGUGCCCAGAUGGGAUUAGCUAGUAGGGGGGGUAACGGCUCACCUAGGCGACGAUCCCUAGCUGGUCUGAGAGGAUGACCAGCAACAUGGGAACGUGGACACGGACCAGACUCCUACGCGAGGCAGCAGUGGGGAAUAGUGCACAAUGGGAGCAAGCCUGAUGCAGCCAUGCCGCGUGUAUGAAGAAGGCCUUCGGGUUGUAAAUUACUUUCAGCGAGGAGGCGUUACUCGCAGAAGAAGCACCGGCUAACUCCGUGCCAGCCGCCGCGGUAAUUC